rnacentral:rRNA from 1 species
AACGAACGCUGGCGGCGUGCUUAACACAUGCAAGUCGAACGGACGAGUGAGAUAAGUUUACUUAACUCACAAGUUAGUGGCGGACGGGUGAGUAACACGUGGAUAAUCUACCUGCAACACCGGGAUAACGCUGUGAAAACGGUGCUAAUACCGGAUACGUUCCCUUGUGCGCAUGUAUGAGGAAGAAAGCUCAGGCGGUUGCAGAUGAGUCCGCGGCUGAUUAGCUAGUUGGUGAGGUAAAGGCUCACCAAGGCGAUGAUCAGUAGCCGGCCUGAGAGGGUGAACGGCCACACUGGGACUGAGACACGGCCCAGACUCCUACGGGAGGCAGCAGUGGGGAAUCUUCCGCAAUGGGCGCAAGCCUGACGGAGCAACGCCGCGUGGGUGAAGAAGGCCUUCGGGUUGUAAAGCCCUGUCUUAUGGGAAGAAGUCAGUGACGGUACCAUAGGAGGAAGCCACGGCUAACUACGUG